AUGGCGGCGACGGUGGUGGUCAACAUCGUGGUCGGGCCGCUGGUCAAGAUCGUGCUGGAGAAGGCGUCCAACUACCUCCUCGACAAGUACAAGGUGAUGAAGGGCAUGGAGGAGCAGCAUGAGAUCCUCAAGCGCAGGCUGCCCGCCAUCCUCGACGUCAUCGCCGACGCCGAGCAGGCGGCAGCCCACAGAGCAGGGGCGGCGGCCUGGCUCCAGGCCAUCAAGAAGGUGACCUACCAGGCGAAUGAGGUCUUUGACGAGUUCAAGUAUGAGGCGCUUCGUCGCAAGGCCAAAAAGGAGGGACACUACAAGGAGCUUGGCUUCAGUGUGGUAAAGCUCUUUCCCACCCACAACCGCUUCAUAUUCCGUAACAGGAUGGGAAGAAAGCUCCGCAAGAUUGUGCGGGCCGAUGUCCUUGUGACUGAGAUGAAUGCCUUUGGCUUUAAGUAUCAACAGCAACCGUUGGUGUCCAGUCAGUUGCGGCAGAAGGAUCAUGUUAUGUCCGAUCCAAAGAAAAUCACCAGCAGGUCGAGAGGCAAACAUAAGGAGAAACUUGUUGAUAUGCUAGUUGGUCAAGCUAACAAUGCAGAUCUCACAGUUGUUCCCAUCGUUGGAAUGGGGGGUCUGGGAAAGACCACGUUAGCACAACUAGUUUACAAUGAACCUGCAAUUAAGAAACAUUUCAAUUUGACUCUAUGGGUGUCUCCCAAGAAGAAGAAGAAGAAGAAGAAGAAGAAGAAGAAGAAUGAUGCUACUUCCAAGAACAACCUGCAGAAAUUAGUGAGUGGGCAGAGAUACCUCCUUGUACUGGAUGAUGUUUGGGAACGAAAGGAUGAUAUAUGGGAAAAGCUCAAGGCCUGCCUACAACAUGGUGGCAGGGGUAGUGCGGUCUUGACAACAACUCGUGAUGGAGGAGUGGCUAAAACAAUGGGUACCGUUGAAGCUUAUAAUCUCACAGCUGUGGAGGAUGAAUUCAUAAAGGAAAUUAUCGAGACAAGUGCAUUCAGCCGUUUUCAGAAUGAAGAGGAAAGGCCCGCCGGGUUGGUGAAUAUGGUUGGUGAGUUUGUGAAGAGAUGUGUUGGCUCUCCUUUAGCUGCAACAGCACUGGGCACAGUACUGCAUACCAAGACCAGCGAGGAAGAAUGGAAGGAUGUACUAAGCAGAAACAUGUUUUGCACUGAGGAGACUGGUAUCUUACCAAUACUCAAGCUCAGUUACAAUGACUUGCCUCCUCAUAUGAAGCAAUGCUUUUCUUUUUGUGCCAUGUUUCCCAAAGGUUACCGGAUUGAUGUGGACAAGCUGAUCCGACUGUGGAUCGCACAUGGCUUUAUUAUCCAGGAAAAGCAAGUUUGUCUUGAAACCAUUGGCAAACAGAUUUUCAACGAGCUGGUCUCAAGGUCAUUCUUUCAGGAUGUGAAACAAGUCCAUGAAAUUGAGAAAAAAUUGAAUAUGACGGGGCAUGUUAUUCCAGAACUACAUGCAAAAUCCAUGAUCUUAUGCAUGAUGUUGCACUUUCUGUAA
rnacentral:rRNA from 1 species